rnacentral:rRNA from 1 species
GAUGAACGCUGGCGGCGUGCCUAAUACAUGCAAGUCGAGCGAACAGAUAAGGAGCUUGCUCCUUUGACGUUAGCGGCGGACGGGUGAGUAACACGUGGGUAACCUACCUAUAAGACUGGAAUAACUCCGGGAAACCGGGGCUAAUGCCGGAUAACAUUUAGAACCGCAUGGUUCUAAAGUGAAAGAUGGUUUUGCUAUCACUUAUAGAUGGACCCGCGCCGUAUUAGCUAGUUGGUAAGGUAACGGCCUACCAAGGCAACGAUACGUAGCCGACCUGAGAGGGUGAUCGGCCACACUGGAACUGAGACACGGUCCAGACUCCCACGGGAGGCAGCAGUAGGGAAUCUUCCGCAAUGGGCGAAAGCCUGACGGAGCAACGCCGCGUGAGUGAUGAAGGUCUUCGGAUCGUAAAACUCUGUUAUUAGGGAAGAACAAAUGUGUAAGUAACUGUGCACGUCUUGACGGUACCUAAUCAGAAAGCCACGGCUAACUACGUG